GACUCUCAGCAAUGGAUAUCUCGGCUCUCACAUCGAUGAAGAACGUAGCGAAAUGCGAUACCUCGUGUGAAUUGUAAAAUCCCGUGAACCAUCGAGUCUUUGAACGCAAGUUACGCCCGAGGCCAUCCGGCUAAGGGCAUGCCUACCUAGGCAUCA